GGGGCUGACCGGUUUUGACAGCGUGUAGAAGUGGUGGGUAAGCGUGCAGAGCUUUGAGACCUAUGCUCUUUAAUAUCAGGUUUCAGACAGUUUAAAUGGCGAAAAUAACUACGCUCUUGCUGCCUGAUCGAAGUACAGUAGAUCACGCUUAAUCGCCGCAACAGUUGCAGCGACAAGACAUCGCCCGACGGCCCUUUUUCCGAGGCGCGUUGACAAGGCGGUGCUAAUAAAUCGGAGAUAGGAAGCUUCUUGCUCUGAGGAGUUUCCGAAAUUUUAGGAGAUAAGGCCGUGGUUGGUAGUUUCAGGCCUGCCACAGCUCGAAAAUCAACUUGAGACUACGCACGUAGAAAGCUCAUUAGUUCCGCGUUUGGACGAGGGUUCAAAUCCCUCCAGCUCCACU
rnacentral:tmRNA from 1 species